rnacentral:rRNA from 1 species
AGCCCGUGAGGUAACCUUUUGGAGCCAGCGGUCGAAGGUGGGAUUGAUGAUUGGGGUGAAGUCGUAACAAGGUAGCCGUAGGAGAACCUGCGGCUGGAUCACCUCCUUU